rnacentral:rRNA from 1 species
UGCCUCAGUAACGGCGAGUGAAGCGGCAACAGCUCAAAUUUGAAAUCUGGCCUCUUUGGGGUCCGAGUUGUAAUUUGUAGAGGAUGUUUCGGGUACCGCCCCGGUCUAAAUUUCUUGGAACAGAAUGUCAUAGAGGGUGAGAAUCCCGUCUUGGACCGGCGGUAGGGCCCAUGUGAAACUCCUUCGACGAGUCGAGUUGUUUGGGAAUGCAGCUCAAAUUGGGUGGUAAAUUUCAUCUAAAGCUAAAUACCUGCCAGAGACCGAUAGCGCACAAGUAGAGUGAUCGAAAGAUGAAAAGCACUUUGAAAAGAGAGUUAAACAGUAUGUGAAAUUGUUGAAAGGGAAGCGCUUACAACCAGACUUGAGCGCGGCGGUUCCCCCUUCCUUCUGGUUGGGUUAUUCCGUCGUGUCCAGACCAACAUCGGUUCUGGGGGCCGGUUAAAGGCUCUGGGAAUGUACCUACUCCUUCGGGUGUAGACUUAUAGCCCAGGGUGUCAUGCGGCCUCCCGGGACCGAGGAACGCGCUUCGGCUCGGAUGUUGGUGCAAUGGUUGUC